UACGUAGGGGGGCGAGCGUUGUCCGGAUUUACUGGGCGUAAAGAGCGUGUAGGCGGCCCGAUAAGUCCGCUGUGAAAGUCCAGGGCUCAACCCUGGAAUGCCGGUGGAUACUGUCGGGCUCGAGUUCGGAAGAGGUGAGUGGAAUUCCUGGUGUAGCGGUGGAAUGCGCAGAUAUCAGGAGGAACACCGGUGGCGAAGGCGGGGUCUCUGGGCAAUUCCUGACGCUGAGGCGCGAAAGCGUGGGGGAGCAAACGGG
rnacentral:rRNA from 1 species